rnacentral:rRNA from 1 species
GACGAACGCUGGCGGCGUGCUUAACACAUGCAAGUGGAGCGACGAACCAGGGCUUGCCCUGGGGCAGAGCCGCGAACGGGUGAGUAACACGUGGGUAACGUGCCCCGAUGACUGGGACAACCCGGGGAAACCCGGGCUAAUACCGGAUGUGCCCCCUCACAUCAGUGAGGUGUGUAAUGGAAGCUUCGGCCUCCGCAUCGGGAUCGGCCCGCGGCCCAUUAGCUUGUUGGUGAGGUAACGGCUCACCAAGGCUGCGAUGGGUAGCUGGUCUGAGAGGACGAUCAGCCACACUGGGACUGAGACACGGCCCAGACUCCUACGGGAGGCAGCAGUGGGGAAUCUUGCGCAAUGCGCGAAAGCGUGACGCAGCAACGCCGCGUGGGGGAAGACGGCCUUCGGGUUGUAAACCCCUUUCAGUUGGGACGAAGGUCGGGCGGUUAACAGCCGUUCCGGCUGACGGUACCUUCACAAGAAGCCCCGGCUAACUACGUG